rnacentral:rRNA from 1 species
AACCUGCGGAGGGAUCAUUACUGAGUGAGGGCUCACGCCCGACCUCCAACCCUUUGUGAACCAAACUUGUUGCUUCGGGGGCGACCCUGCCGACGACUCCGUCGCCGGGCGCCCCCGGAGGUCUUCUAAACACUGCAUCUUUGCGUCGGAGUUUAAACAAAUUAAACAAAACUUUCAACAACGGAUCUCUUGGUUCUGGCAUCGAUGAAGAACGCAGCGAAAUGCGAUAAGUAAUGUGAAUUGCAGAAUUCAGUGAAUCAUCGAAUCUUUGAACGCACAUUGCGCCCUUUGGUAUUCCGAAGGGCAUGCCUGUUCGAGCGUCAUUUCACCACUCAAGCCUGGCUUGGUAUUGGGCGUCGCGGUGUUCCGCGCGCCUUAAAGUCUUCCGGCUGAGCUGUCCGUCUCUAAGCGUUGUGGAUUUUUCAAUUCGCUUCGGAGUGCGGGUGGCCGCGGCCGUUAAAUCUUUAUUCAAAGGUUGACCUCGGAUCAGGUAGGGAUA